UGCUUCUCGCUGACGAGCGGCGGACGGGUGAGUAAUACUUAGGAAUCUACCUAGUAGUGGGGGAUAGCACGGGGAAACUCGUAUUAAUACCGCAUACGACCUACGGGAGAAAGGGGGCAGUUUACUGCUCUCGCUAUUAGAUGAGCCUAAGUCGGAUUAGCUAGAUGGUGGGGUAAAGGCCUACCAUGGCGACGAUCUGUAGCUGGUCUGAGAGGAUGAUCAGCCACACCGGGACUGAGACACGGCCCGGACUCCUACGGGAGGCAGCAGUGGGGAAUAUUGGACAAUGGGGGAAACCCUGAUCCAGCCAUGCCGCGUGUGUGAAGAAGGCCUUUUGGUUGUAAAGCACUUUAAGCAGUGAAGAAGACUCCAUGGUUAAUACCCAUGGACGAUGACAUUAGCUGCAGAAUAAGCACCGGCUAACUCUGUGCCAGCAGCCGCGGUAAUACAGAGGGUGCAAGCGUUAAUCGGAAUUACUGGGCGUAAAGGGAGCGUAGGUGGCUCUAUAAGUCAGAUGUGAAAUCCCCGGGCUUAACCUGGGAACUGCAUCUGAAACUGUAGAGCUAGAGUAUGUGAGAGGAAGGUAGAAUUCCAGGUGUAGCGGUGAAAUGCGUAGAGAUCUGGAGGAAUACCGAUGGCGAAGGCAGCCUUCUGGCAUAAUACUGACACUGAGGCUCGAAAGCGUGGGUAGCAAACAGGAUUAGAUACCCUGGUAGUCCACGCCGUAAACGAUGUCUACUAGUCGUUGGGUCCCUUGAGGACUUAGUGACGCAGCUAACGCAAUAAGUAGACCGCCUGGGGAGUACGGCCGCAAGGUUAAAACUCAAAUGAAUUGACGGGGGCCCGCACAAGCGGUGGAGCAUGUGGUUUAAUUCGAUGCAACGCGAAGAACCUUACCUGGUCUUGACAUAUCUAGAAUCCUGCAGAGAUGCGGGAGUGCCUUCGGGAAUUAGAAUACAGGUGCUGCAUGGCUGUCGUCAGCUCGUGUCGUGAGAUGUUGGGUUAAGUCCCGCAACGAGCGCAACCCUUGUCCUUAGUUACCAGCGGGUUAAGCCGGGAACUCUAAGGAUACUGCCAGUGACAAACUGGAGGAAGGCGGGGACGACGUCAAGUCAUCAUGGCCCUUACGACCAGGGCUACACACGUGCUACAAUGGUAGGUACAGAGGGCAGCUACACAGCGAUGUGAUGCGAAUCUCAAAAAGCCUAUCGUAGUCCAGAUUGGAGUCUGCAACUCGACUCCAUGAAGUAGGAAUCGCUAGUAAUCGCGGAUCAGAAUGCCGCGGUGAAUACGUUCCCGGGCCUUGUACACACCGCCCGUCACACCAUGGGAGUUGAUUGCACCAGA
rnacentral:rRNA from 1 species